UACAGCCACAUCACGUUGAAGCACCGGUUCCGUAUGAUCAUCAAAGUUAAGCAAGGUCGAGCCUGAUCAGUACCUAGAUGGGUGACCGUUUGGUAAUACCAGGUACAGCAAG
rnacentral:rRNA from 1 species